UACGUAGGGUGCGAGCGUGUCCGGAAUUACUGGGCGUAAAGAGUUCGUAGGCGGUUUGUCGCGUCGUUCGUGAAAACUUGGGGCUUAACUCCAAGCGUGCGGGCGAUACGGGCAGACUUGAGUACUACAGGGGAGACUGGAAUUCCUGGUGUAGCGGUGAAAUGCGCAGAUAUCAGGAGGAACACCGGUGGCGAAGGCGGGUCUCUGGGGUAGUAACUGACGCUGAGGAACGAAAGCGUGGGUAGCGAACAGG
rnacentral:rRNA from 1 species